GCCCUAGAGGGCCGGUGGGACUGAGUUCUCCUAUACCUCGCUGUCCGCGGGUAUGCAGUUUCCCGUCUGGAGGGACCGGGGAAGCCAGCGUCCCCACGUUCGUGGCCAGCGAGGCUGCGCCUGUGCCCGGCCAGGCGUCCUGCAGCCCCUCCAGGUGCCCAGGUGCCGGGCGCGCCCUCUGCCUUAUCCCCGAGCGGUUCUAAUGAAGUCCGAAAAGCAUCUCCUGUGACACAAGCUUUCGAGGGCCCGCAUCGCCGCUUGGCGCGGGCGGUCACCUUGCCCAUCUUUAAAACGAGCAACGAAACAGCCCACAGUCAGGGUGGCAGCCUCGGCUGACAGCGCUCAGCCGGCUUUGCGAACCGCCUGGCUGAGGCUUCCUCGAGGAAGCAGACCCGGCCGCCACAGCCCGCUGGUUUUGGAAGAUCAUAGAAUCUCAGAGAUCUGCUGCUUUACCGACAAAGCCAGCUGUCUGCGCGGCCCCCCUCCUUUUGCUUUCUCUGCCAAGAUUUGCAGCCACUGCCUGAGUGAACCAGCAACGGCUGUGCUCUCACAUGACACUGGUGGGGAGAGCUCUCGGCUGUGGUACAGAUUUCACGGACGUCUCAGUGACAAUGCUGCAAGGUCAUGGGGUGAAGGGUCACGGGGGCUAGGAAGCCUGGUGUUUCCAGCUCUGCUCUUGACCUUUAUUCAGAGCAUGGCCUCAGCCACUGAUUCACCUCUCUGGACCUCAGAGUUUCCACUGAUACAUUAAGAUUGGGUUAAAUUAUCUCUAAUGUCUCUUAGCAUUCUUAUUUUGUGAGACCAGGAAAUGAAAAUCAGAUCCUAAAUUCAUUUUAAAUGGGGAAAGGAAAAUACCACGAGUUUCUUCUCCCCCCUCUUACUUCUAUUAUCAACCAACUCACAAUCUUUUCAUUUCUACCCUAAUUUGUGCUUAGUUUUUAUGCAGCCCUGUGAGCAGUCACUUAAAGGAUGUGGACAAGGUGACUCAGUCCCAUUCUGUUCCGUGGCUCAUUGGUGACAUUUCUCCUAGGUGACCGCUUAGGAAUUCUAGAUAUUUGUCUUGGUCCUUGGUUCUCCAGUAUUCUUUGUUUGGUCUUAAAAUAGGCACAUGCUUUCUCAUGUGCUGACCUACUAAUGUGAAGAAACCCCCGGUCUCAAUGAUUAAAAAGGGAGCCCCGGGAAGGUCACAGUGUUCUCGUCCCCAGUGGCGGCCAUUAAGGAUGCAACCUUCCUCAUGUGGACAUCUGUCCUUGGAUGUCAGUUUUGUACUUUUAAAAAACCAUGGAACCAGCGAGACCAAAACGGAGAGUCUUUGAUACAUAUGUGAUUCUCCAAACAAAGAAGAAUAUCUAGGUCAGAAAACAUAUGAAUUCUAAUAUUUCACAUUUUCACUAAUUAUCUAGUUGGGGAACAUUGUAUUUAUUUAGUUCCAGUGAAUGGCUGAAUAAAGAUGGAAAGAAAAAUCGUUACACUUGUAUAUUGGGGGCGUUUUUCUUUGUAUGUCCUAUAGAUGAUAAUCCAUAGUUCAACGAUACAAAAGGUGACUUUGCAGACAUAACGGUACUUUUACUUGUGGUUGUGAUGCCGCCUGCCCUGCCCCGAUGUAGUGCCCAGUGCCCAUCUUCGUGCUUCUUCGGUACCCUCAGCUCGCCUCUUAUAAAGCAUUUCUCACCCUUUCCUA